CUAAUAUCGAUACGCGGGCCGUGGAAAUUAGCUUUUCCUUCCUUGCGUUUGACGUGCUCCUCAAUUGGAGACACUUGGGGGGGGCGGGGGGGGGGGGGGGGGGAAGAGAGGAAAGAAAAACCCGCCUAGCUUCAAUGGACCCUUGUGGAACUGCUCGCAUUUUUCACCUCGGUUAAAACGUCAAACAUUAACUGGACGGCUCGGCCCUGCAGAAGGCACACUCGGAGGAAAUAUCAAAUGUGCUUCGAGAUCGAAAGCUGCGUAUUUACACGACGGCGAGAACUGAAAGCUGAGGUUCUGUGCUCAGCGGUGUGUCCCUGCGCUGUGCCGUGCGCUGCGUGCACCGUACUUUCUUGGGUUUUUUAUUAUUAUUUUUUUUCCAGGCUUGGUUUUUUUCAUCCCAGCUGUCAGGAAAACAUCCCAAGAAGCUCCUCUCUCCCCCUGAAUUUUUGGGGAAUUUUUUGAGAAUUUUUUCCUGAUUUUUUUUUUUUUUAAUAUAUAUAUUUUUAGGGGUACCUCUUCAAUACCGAGGGGGGAAAAACCCCACCGAGUUGUACCGCGAGUUUCCAAGUGAUGCGCUCUCUUUUCUUCAGAGAGAGAAACCUUGUGCAGCUUGGAGCCACUGUGCUGUAUGUCAUGCAGAGGAGCAGCAGCAAUGGGAAGGUUUCGACCUUUCAAUAGAGAGCUGAUUUUGGAGAACGGCUUAGUCCUGUGAUUGAAAAACUCUUUCUGGAAGGUUGAUGGAGCAGGAGGAUGGUAUAUAUUAUAUUAACAUUUCUCUCUUACACGUGUUCUUUAUUUAAAAAGGAGAAAAAAAAAAAGUAUAUGGUGUAACUUCUGUGGAUUAUUCAAAAUAGGCGAAUUGUGCUGGGUUUGCCCGAGUUUUUUCUGUUUGGUAAAAUAAUUCUUCUUUACACCCUGUCUGUAAAAUUCUAAGAGGCUGAGUAAAAGCGAAGCAUUCACACCAGCUGCCUUCAGAAGGAAACAAAAUGGCCAAAAUUCGUACAAAAAGCUGAGUUUGCAGCAGCCUUGGUCAUAGGAGUUAUAUAAAUUCUCUAUAUAGUAUUGUUCUCGUAUUCUUGUAUUGGGAAUUAGUCCAAGUGAAAUGUUGCUAGUCCAAAAACAAGGUAUAGAGGAGGUAGUGUUUAUUUUUAAGUAACUUUAUUUUUGUUGUUGCUGUUGUUGUUGGGAGGGUUUGUUAAAGAAACGAACAGAGGGCUGAGUGCACUUCAAUGGAGUGUGCAAAACUUAUUUUUAAAUGUGUUAACAAACUUGCUGCUUGACGAGCUAAGAAGCAGGAAACGAGACAAAAUGGGCUUCAGAGGCCUCUACCUGUGGCAAAACAGGCAGAAAUCUCAUUUAAUUCCUGUAUUUGUCAGUAAAUGGAUUUUUUCUAUAGCGAAACAGCAAAUAUUUAAGCAAAUAAUAAAUAGGGACUGGCUACACUCAUACUGCAAGUCCUGCUUUGCAACAGAAGUACUCAUCUGGCUGAAACUGAGAAAUCCAUUCAGAGUAAUCAUAACCUACCUACUCGCAUGUGAAUAAUCUUAACUAACCAUUUCUAAAAACAAUUGAAAUUAAAAUAGUAACUGUUCUUGGAUUGAGUAAAUUUGUUUAAAUACUAAAUGGAGCCGUAAAAACUGUAAAACUUUAUCUUGAGCGAAAUAUAUUACAGUGCAACCAAUUUUAUGAACAUGUCGUGACUUUAGCAAUUCCAGCUUUCAGCUGGAAUCCACUUUGUAUCCUUAAUCAAAUCUGUCUGUCUUCAAGAACACAUUUUUCUUUUUUAUUUUGCAGGAAGUAAUUGUAUCAGAAAAAUAGGAGAAAUUUGGGGGAAAAAAAUGUAGAUGAUUUUGGGAACUGCUAAUUUGUCCUAAGCCCAUCCAGCAAAGUGUAAAUUGCAGCUUUCCUCAGCGCUGUAACUUAUGUCCACUACACCCGAGGAGCUGCUGCUUUUGCCACUCGAACACCUCCUGGCACAGACCUGUUUGAGGCAGACAUGUUCUGAAUGUGUUUUUCGUACAAUGAAAACGGUGCUAUGAUUUUUAGGGGGUGGCGAAGACCACCUACAGGCACUUAUCAGCUGGGGAAGCAAAUGCUGAAUACAGAAAGUGCAGGGACCCGGUGGCAAAGGAGGGAAACAGAAGCUUCUGUGAACUCUGCAAUUUGUGAUCAGUGAAUUGGAGAUUUUGCAGUUCUUUUUUCCUCUUUCUGAUUAACAGUUGUGGUAAAAGUUAUUUUUAUUAAUGCAGUAAGAGUGUUUGGGUGACAUGUCUCGUAGGAUCCCAAAGAAAUAAAUAUUUUACAGGCUGGCUAGAAACUGCACCGAGUGUAAUGCAUGUGGGUUUGGGUGGUGGUUUCUUUUUUUUUUCUUUAAUCCUGGUUCUCUUAAGAGCAUAAAGAUUUCACAGAACACCUCUUUGAAUUUGUUCAUUCUUUCUUCUUUUUUUCUAUAUUUUUUCCUCUUUUUUUUCCCCCCUUUACAAAAGCAAUUACAUUCUUGUUAAUGAAAAUCAGGAUUAUAUUGCAAGGCAAAAGUAUCUAAGGCUCCCUUGUGACAUAUUUAAAAGGUGAAAGUUUGAUGGAGUGUUCCUUGGGCUGACAUGAGCUCAGUGUAUUUCUUAUAGAUUCUUAUUGAGCAAAAAAAAAGAUAUAAUAUCUGGUUCACAACUGUAAAUCAAAGGAUUUUUAAGUUUAGGGCCUGAGCCUGCAGAGUUCUAAAUACACAAGUAGUCCUAACAGCUCACUUCCACUAAUAAGGAUUUGCAGAAUCAUGUCAGCAGAUCCAAACUUGUAUUUUAUUUUUUUUAGUAAAUAAAAAAUAUCCAGGUAAUUUGAACUUUGAGACAAGCUGGAGAAUUUUUUUUUAGGAGCCCAAAGAGGAGACUUUAGCAGUAGUGCAGCUACAGAGUGUGACUCGUGUACAAGCUGAGCUGUCUCUCAGGAGUGCUGCAGUUGUCAGUUGCCUUUAGAAUCUAUUUUUCAAGUGUUGAUUGGCUCUAGAACAGUUUUUUUGCUGAAAUUUGGCCUCCAUUAAUUUUGUUGUAGAGCUGGUCAGCAUGUUUGCUGGGGAAGUGCUCAGCGUGGCUGUUUUGUGCCCCAAAGAGCAGUGAAGCUUUGCAGAGAGCUCUGGGGUGUGUUUUAGUUUCUAACUCCCAGUUUCUGCUGCUGCAGUUCUUAUUUAGGCAAACUACCACCGAUUUUUUUUUUGUUGUUGGAAAUUAACCCUGCAGUAAGGGCUGCGGUGCUGGCCCCUUAAAAACUGUUGGUGUGGCUAUUGCAAAUAGUGUGCUCGACUUCGUGGGCUGUUUUGCAAUAUCUAGUUGUAAUGAGCUGAAGAGAUAAAAAUGUGCAGGCUUCUUUGCUGAAGUGCUUCCCGUGUGCAACUUUCCAUGGCCACUUUUACCACUCGCAGAAUAGGUACAUGCUUGAGCCUCUGCAGACCUUGUUGCCUAAAUCACAAUCUGAUAGCUGACAUUGCAUGCCUGCUGCUCUGCUCGUCUGAAGGAGCUGCUGCAGACAUCUUUGUCAGCUCAUCAGUGCUUUCUUUAAGGACUUCUGCUGCUUUUUUUUUUCUUUUUUUUUCAAAAGCAACUUAAAUAAUUUUCCUGAAGGAGAGAUGUGGCUAUAAAGGCACCCCUUGCCUGCUUAUUACAGCACAUGUAAGGUCAGCCCUCCUUUGAAACCCCUCUGAUAGCUCAGACGUGGCUGCUUUAAAUUUAGAAAUCUGAAAGAAGUGAAUUUUCUGGAUUUUGCUCAUUUUAACUACAUCCAGCCCUAAUAUUAUUUUAAAAUGGAGCUUUGUGCACUGUUUAAAUUUAAAUAAACCUUAACUUUUGUUAUUAGGCUAGGCAUCUCGUGGAACAGCUCUGUGGCAAGGAUUUGAGGCUGGUGUACUUACACUUCAAUUUUUCCUUCUCUGUUGAUGAAGUGAUCCCGAAAAACAGUUGCAAAAGAAGAACAAACGACCCACAGAGUCUUCAGGAAAAAUAGUUAAAAAAUGCUAACUGGCAGAUUUAAGUGUUUAUGCUUCCCCCUCCAAGCCUAAUGCAUGAAAAUAGGCUCUAGCUUGUAUUUAUUUAUUUAUUUACUUCAACAACAACAACAACAACAGCAGCAGCAGCAACAAAAGAAAAAGCAGUGCAGAAAUGUGUGCAAACCCAGACGUCUGAGCUGUGGGUAAAGGAAGAGGAAAAAAAAUACAAUUAGAGUUAUCCUAAAUGUUCAGCUACUGUAUCCGUAGCUGUGUUAACCUGCCUUGCUUGGGACUGCUGCUCACACACCAGCAGGAAAAGGAGCCUGUAUGAAGAUGGGAGAGCUAAUUCAGUAUUGCUCUCAAAUAAGCCCCUGUUUCUGCCUUUGUUGAGUUUGAAUUUAUUUUAAAUACAUGGAUAUCCACGGUAGCUUUUUAGUUCUGGGUCUUUUGGAGGGGUUUUGGGUUUGGGGGUUUUUUCUUGUUUUUUUUUUAAUUAUUAUUAUUAUAUAUAUAUUUUUAGGACAUGUUAUGUUCUGUUACAUUCACAAUUUUUACAGCAAUAUUUUGAGGAAAAUUACUGCUUUUCAGUAAAACAUGAUAAUCAAUUUAAUUCAAUUAACUAAGAUAAUUAAUUUCAAGCCAGAGAUGGGCUGCAUCUGUAUUUUUAAUUUGUACAGUGCUUAAAAAUCCUGGUAGUGUGCAAAUACCUCCAAAGUAAUUACACCUUUCCCUUAUUCAAGUCAAUGGGAAGAGCUUGCUGCUGAUUUCUUGUGAGUGUACUCUUAUUUUCUUUUUCUGGAUUUUUUUUAUGACUUCAAACCCAAAAUUUUCACGAUUUUAUCCAUCCACUUCUUAGCUGUUAUGAAGAGGAAUUUUUUAAUUAUUUUUAAUUAUUUUUUUUUUCCCUCGAAUAUGGGUUUAAGCACUAAUAUGAAAGCUAACAUAAAUAUUUGGGGAAUAUUGUAAUUUUCGACAUGAACGGAGUCCUCCCAACUUGAAAUGAUAAUUUCCUACAUCAAAAUAGUUGUAAUAUAUUAUAAUUCACUUGGGCUUAUUGAACGUUCUGGGGGAGCCAGGAAUUCCAGUGCAUCUGAGAAACAAAAACCAUUUGAUUUAGAAUUUCUGUAUUGUCAGAGCAAUGUUUUCUCUGGUUGAAGAGGCAGAUACUGUGGUCUGAAGGGAGUUAACACUCAAGUUAUCCUGCGAACGCUUUGCUUCCCCCUGUUACAAACUAUUACACGUCUUACUACAGACCAGGAAUUAGAAAAGGAGGAUGCUCCAUCUGUUGUGAAACGUUGUAACAGCUCUUAUGAGAAAGCCUGAUUCUAAAUAUAUGCAAAAGUCUAUUGCAGAGCAGAGUUCUGUGACACAAGUCUGACAGUACCAGCAGUACCUCGCGCAGGCAGGCAAAACCCCUUAGCAAAGGGAAUGGUCUUCUGCUGAGGUACUCCUUGUGGUGCUCCCCAGAAGAUUUCUUGAGGCUCUCAGGAGAAGGCAGAGUGAUGCUGUCAGCGACAGGCACAGCAGUUACACAAGCAGCAGGGAAAUGUGUAUUUUUCUUCGUCUGUUUUAUAACCUGACUGAGUCUGUUUCAGUUCUCAGGCAGUGUGGCUGUUACUUCAAGGGCUGUAGUGCUGUCUGACAGGCGUUUCUUUGUUUUAUUCUUGUUGGAAAAAAAACAAAAAAAGGUUCAUACGUUGAUUUUUUUCAGUGCUGUGUGUGUGGCUGUCCAUAAUCUAUCUGAUAUGGAAGGGUUACCAGGUCCUAAAAUUCAUUACCUCUCUGAUCAGUUCGAGAGUAGAGGAAAACGUGGUUUGAAACAAGAUCAGAGGAAAAUGCUUGGGCUUUUCUUUCUGGAAUUAGCAGGUUUAAAAUGAGGACUGUUGUUUGCACAGUGCCUGUUUGCAUCCAGGUUUGGAGUGCAACUACGAGAUCCUGGAAUCAGCAGGGAGAGAAUAAUUCCUUCUAGAGUGUUAGUGCUCGUAGGCUGGGCUCUGUUUUUACACCACCAGCUCCUCAGCUUUCAUUAAAGUUUUGAUUCCAGCUCUGUCACUGUAAUUACAGUGGAUCUGGCUGUCAGUGCCUCCUGUUUGUUUCAGGAAAUGGUAUUUUUGUGAAACUGCAUGAGAAACUGAUGGAAGUGUAAAAUACAUGAACGUUCCUAAGUUCCCUCUUAAACUUGCUGUCCUUGAUUUUUAUCUCCCUAUUUAGAAGUGCAGAUUUCCUCUUGCAUUUUUGGGCUGGAAUCCUCAGUUUGCCAAUCUCUCAGUCUUCUGACAUGAAAAUGAUCCUUCAGAAAGGCUGCUCGCUUGUUGUUGCUUUAUGUUUUUUUGGUUUUUUUUUUCUUCACAAAGUUUUAUUUUUAGCUUAAUAAAACUUAAGUUGUUGACCCACUUUUCCAUUAUGUAAAAACCUGAGCAGAAUUUGUCAUUGAGGCAGGAAUUUGUGAAGGCUAACACUAGAGGGCAAUUCGAAGCAAGAGUCUGCCUGCCCCGCAGCUCUUACGGUCCCUCUUGAAAAAUGGGGAGCCUAUGGGGGCUGUCCUUGCAUCCCCCGGGCCGCAGCCAGCCUCUGUGACCACACUCCUCAGUCUUCCAAUUAACUCUGUUUUCCUAUCCAGUCCAUAACUUGAGGGUAUGUUCGGGUGCUGCGCUGAAUGAGAAGGAACUUAAGCCAGGUCCUGUGUUCUGCUGCAUUAUCAGUUAACAAACCUCUUCUUCCAGUCUCCUUUCCUUCACUCUUGCUGCUGUCGGAAGGGCAUAAUGCAUUCAGUGGCCUUCUUUUGUUUUGCUUGUUGGGUAUUAAUUUGCUCAUAACGUGCCACACCGAACCCUCUGGAAGUGAUGCGAAAGAUGCUGAGUUUGGGGAGGUGAGGUACCACUGUGCUGAAACACACCUGAAAAGGAAUGCCUUUUACUUCUGAGCAUCAUAGGAAAUAAAAACAGUGAGUGAGAAAUAGGCUGAAUUUGCUGAAAUGCAUUGGUAGCUGAGAAAUCAGGUUUUGUGGAAGCGAUUGGAACAAAUUAACAGCAGUGCUAAUAGCCAGGGAAACGCUGCUGAAUUACCUUAACGAGAAAAUAUACUGUUUUUAAUUUUUAAUGUAAUACAUGUAGAAGGGAUCAGACGGGUAGAUGAUGCCUGUAAUUUUACCACGCCGGUAUAUGAGAUGUAAAAGCAGAGUUGCAGGGAGCUGAUCGCUCCCCCACAGUGAAAUACAGCACUUGAUUGCUCAUCUGUGUGUAUUGUGCAGGAUUUAAAAAAUUUACAUAACAGUGCAUUACAUAAUAAACUAUAGUUUUCACAGGUUGCAGUGUUCAUUGUGGUCUACUGGACAUCCCCAUGGCUUGUAAACAGCAACCUGUAGUGAGGAGGGGUGAUGUCGUGCUUCUUGAAAUGCACUCCAGGAUUGUUAUUUUAGCAAUGCAGGUUCUCUCAUUAUAUUGAAACGUAUUGCAUCCAGCAGCAUAAGUGUUUGUAAGUGCCGUGGUGCACAUUUCAACACGGGGUAUUUCACAGAUGUGUGUUCAUAUCCAUCUAUAGAGCUGCACGUUAUUUUAUAUGGUAUAUAUACUUCUAUAUAAAAAGGCUAUUCCGAGGUUCAGGUGGUGUGGUCGUUCCUACAUUAUGUACCAGCUUUUCAAGUAGUAUAGUUUUCACAUCCUUUGUACAACUUAUUUUAGAGCUCUAGAACUUAUUCUUUCUUUACCUGCUUUUUUUUUUUUUUUUUUAGUAAGGAAUAUGGAUAGGAAUAUUGGCGUGCAUUGUUGCAGUAAACAUUUACACCUAUCUCUGCAGGUCUGGUCUGCAACUUCAGUGCAGUUUGAAUAUGUAAUCUGCUGGCAGCGAUGUGCCCAAAGUCGGUCUGAAUUUGUGGAAGGGAGAUUGCUUCAUCCUACAGUGUGUAGUCCUGACCUGGAUGAGGCUGACAGAAGGAAACAAAUAAUAUGGAAAGGAAGAAGAAAAAAAAAAGGAUAAUGGAAUGCUUCAGUGAUGAGGAGGUUUUUGUUUUAUUGGGGGGGGGGGGAUAUGGAGAGUGGGCAAGGAAUUAUCACUGCCCAUGGUUAUCAGCUAGAAGAAAUCCUAACUGCACAUUAAACUCAGUCUUGAGAACAUGCAUGUUUAAUGCAAAAUCAAGCUGAAUAUUCAAGUGCUUAAACCAAGCGUGCAUAUAUGCUGUUAAGAAAUUGAUUUCUUAGUGCUCUGCAGGUAAAACUAUCAAUUUUUGCCAACAUGCAUAUUUUAUCUUUUUUUUUUCUCUUACUAGUCUGAUUUUUUUUUUUUUUUUUUUUUUUUGGCCUUAAAUCAGCCAGAGAAGUUCAGUUGUUAACAUUUCAGGCUGUCUUAUUUGUAUUAUUUGCAGCAAGCAAGAACAAAAGUGUGAGUAUCAGCAGUGUGCAGAGCAGUGCUGCGAUAUUGUUCUGUGCUGCCUUUAAGCAGGUGGUUUCUCGUGGCAGGCUGGAAGAGAGAUUCUUUUUCUUCCCAGCUUUUGACAAAAAGAUGACGCAUAUGUCUCAGAAUUAGAAGGGGAAAUCUGCCAGUUUGCAUCAGUUCCUCAACUUGUGGGUUGCUUUUCACCACAAGGAAAAUUGGUACAUUCGCACCAGUGCUUCUUGAGAGAUGAGGAGUAAUCAUUUCCUUCAGAAAGUGUAGGAUGAUUGGAGUAGGCCCUUCGUAUGUUACACUAGGCUUUUCCUAUAAGAUAUCUUCCGAGUGUAUUAAAUAUUUAGGAAGAAAAGAAAAAAAAGCAUGGUCUUAAAUGCUGCUCUUAAUGCCUGAAAUAGGGAUCGUGCAUCUUAUAACUUAAUGCAGAGCACAAGCAGUGGAAUCUGCUUCCUUUUGAAAAUACUAAGCUUCUCUUCAGCUGGAAUUGUAACUCAGAAAAGCCCUGUAGAUCUCCAGAGCUGAAAGGUAAGUUGUUCAGCUUUGUUUUUAACCUAAUCCUAUGUAUCUUAGUCUCCAAUUCCAGCCUUAAAUUAAGUUAGUAGGACUGGGGAGGGAGGGGAGGAAAUUAAUGCAGUGGAUUUGAGAGCUAAAGGUAUCUGCUUUGUUGGGAAAGCAUUUCAUAUGAAGUAAGGAAGGUCUAAUUUUCUACAACGUCAUGCUGUAGACCUGCUGGAAAAAAAAACCAACAACCAGGCAGUAGCUUAUGAAAGAAUCUGAAUUACCACUAAGGUUUGGGAUAUGGGGGAGAGAGUUCUCACCAUGCUGAGGUUGCUCAAAGGAUGCGCUGCCAAAUGGCCAUUUACUAAGAUAUUGAUGGCUUUUUGUUUUGUGGCUAUUUACCAAGCAUUUGAUAGGACUGAUAGUACCACUCAGAUUUCUUGGCUGCUACUGUGGUUUUAAGCAUUGGAUUUUACAUUUUUUCUUAAUAUAUUAACUUCUGGUUAAUUCAGUAUGGUUUUACUUUAAGCUCGUUGGUGAAAUAUUGAAAAUCUAGCUUAAUAUAAAGCCUUAGGAGGUACCCAGCAUCCUCAUCUUUUUUUUUCCUUUUUCUCUUUUCUCUCAAGUGGAUAAAGUUCCUAUCAUUCAGUUGUUUAGAAAAGGCAUAUCCUAAACACAUCUCUUUUUCUAGCUGUAGAAAUGAACUUCACUGUUUAACAGUCAGCCUUAGAAAGCACCGUAUUCCUGUGCACUAGCUCAGUCUGUGAGUCAUGGGUCUCACUGAUGGGGGAGUGGGUAACAAACCUAUAAAUGUUUUUGAAUGGGAGUAUUCAUGUGCGUGUGCAGAUAGAUAUCUUUUGUAUGAAUAAGGGGGGAGGGAAAUGAUCAGCCUUCUAUCGGGCCUCCUGUGUAUUUCUUCAGCUAGCGUUGACUUAAGCCAAAAUAAGUAGGUAGUAUGACCAGAAAUCUGUACCCCAAAGGUGUUAAAGACACCCAAAGCUCAUGCUCAAGUGACUGUUUAAUUUGUGAAGCUGUAGAGAUAGAGCUAAGGGCUGGAAGAGUUACAGCAGUUGCUGGUAGGUGUUCCCCCGAUGUUAACUAGAGGAUUCCAUUAGCAGUUGAGUCAAUCUCUUCUAGCGGCACUUUUACCUUUCGUAAGUCAUACAUUGUCUGGCAUUUCAUAGAAGUCAUGUAGAGAUGAUGUCAAGAGACAGAAGAUAAAGACAAAUUUACUGUCUGGGCCAGAAGGCAGGCUCACAAGAGGCAACUUCUUUCAGGACACGAAAAGCUCUUUGUUCUGUGGCCUUGGUCUUUCUGUGCUUUGACCCUUAUUUUACAGCGUUGUCACUCUGACCCUAAAUCUUUUGAAGCAGGCGGGCAGCAAAUGUAGCCCUCUACGAGUGGGGUUGCAUUCUGAGCUACGGGCCUGGUUCUGUCUUCAGGCGUUGUAGUUCCUUGCAAUUCGGAGAGGCAGCAGUUGAAAAUUAAAGAUGGGUGCCGCUGUCCAGAGCAAGUAGGAUUGCACAGCAGGGUCAUCUUUAAGAGUAUAUCUGCUUCUGUGCAUACUGCUUUAUUACCAUCCUGUGAUUCAUUAUGACUUACCAAUUUCAGAUAAGAUGGCAACUAGGAGGAUGGCCUGGCUAAAGCUAAUUAUUUUCCCCUUUCCCAGCAGUAAUUUGGAAACUGAUCCUGUGCACUUAGCACCGGGGUUGCUGCAAAGUGCUGCCUGAGCAUUCGGCAUUCUGUAGAGGACAGGAGGAGCUUUGGUGUAGAUGCUAGGGUUAAAUACUUGAGCAUCAGUACCUGCCCACCUUUCUUUCACACAAGAGUGGGUGCCAGCUUAGAAGAGCACAGUGUUUUACACCAGGCCUGUGGCUGCUGCUUGGGCUAAAAGAAGCAGCCUGGUGAGAAUUUGAGAGGGGAAAAAGGAAGCUUCAUUUUUUAUUAAUUGAAGAAAGCUAGAAAUGAAUGGAAAGGGCAGAAACCUAAAAGUCUGCUGAGAUGUCCUGAGUUUUUAUCAUUUACCUUUAUUCUUUUAUAGCACAAGGUAAGAGAAAUGUAAUGUAUUUAAGAGGAGAAGCUGUUCCUCUGUCUUAAUAACUUUCCACUAUACAAUGUGAGGGUUUUGUUAUUUUGGCAGUUCUGUUUUCUCCUUCACCAGCACUGUUCUGCAUAUGGGCUUUCAGCAACUCAAACUGUAAAAAUAGGAUAUUCUUUUCUGGGGGUAACAGUGUAAUUAUCUAAAAAUGCACAUUUAUUGGAGAAUUGGAAUAAAAAGAUUUUUUUUUUAAUCUUAAAGGAUGUCAUAAAAACAUUUUAAUUAAAAAAAAAAUGUUUAGAAAUUGAAGCUGUGUUUCAGGGCAAUCCUGGCUUUCUUUUUGGUAGAUUCUACAGACCAAGUAUUGAUCUUUUUGUGAUGAAAACUGGGGGGGAGGGAGAGGAGGAAGAGACAUUUCAAUAACUACUGUAGUAACAUAUAACACACAGUUCCUAGAACACAGAAAAUAGUGUAUUUCUUCCUCUAAUUCUGUAUGUGUCCUCUCAAGCAGAAAGAGCACAGAUUGAAAGUGUUCACACAGUUUUCUUCUUGUGCGUAUGCCAAAGGUGCAGAGAAGACAGAUUUCUAGAAGUUGUAUGCAUGCUGCAGCAGUGCAAAGAAGAGGGAUGUGGGAAGCUAUCCUGAAAUCCAACUUUCCCAAACCCUGUUGGGACGCAGAGCUUGUUACACUCCAUGAGUUUGCAUUAAAAUACCUCAUCUAGCAGUAUAGUGAAUGCAUCAGCAUCUGACAGAACGCUUCUUAGAAGCUGGGGAAAGAGGUGUGAGGAGUUGGUCUUAUUCAAUUUCAUUUUUAAGCUAGAGUCAAAACUGAAAUAUACAUUGAUAAUAUUUGUCUGCCGUCUGUCAGCUUCCCUUAGGGCUUCUUUUUUAGCUCUAGCAAGCGAAAACAUUUGUUUCAAGUCUUGUGCUCGAUUUCUCACUUCAGAUCUGAGUACCUUUUAGUUUCUUUCCUUCCAUAGAGCAUUUCGAUUGCCAUCCAUCGCUUCCACAGAAGCCUCAAUAUUGCCAUUCCAAAUGACUGUCUGUCUUUCUGUUUGUUGACGUGACUGCAGGGAAGGACUGGUGCACCUCCUACAACAGAACAUGCGAGUCAGGUCAGUGUAAGCCGUGGUUGGAGGACUGAGAUGAAUUUAAAAGGAUUUAAAACCAAAAUUAAUGCUGAUGGACCAUAACUGCAUUUUCAGACUUCCAUAUAUUUUUCAACUGCAGACCUUCUUAACGUUUUAGUUACUGGGUUGGUUUUAGUUUUUUAGCUGACUUUGUUACUUUAUGUUUAUCUUUUGCAGUAGCUCUCCAGAUAGUCUAAAUAUGUUUGUUUAUGAUCCUUGGAGGAAUGGCUGGACACAUGUUAUAGAUUCUCCAAAUUUAGCAACAGUAAAUUUCUGUAAUCAGCAGUUAUCUGCUUAAAUUUCAUUAGUAAUAUUUUACAUUGCACAGAACUUCUGUCACUGUCUCAGUCUCUUACUGUGAUUGCACAGGAAAAAUUGUUGACACGAUUGUGAAACAGUUAACAGAGAAUCCCCCCUUUUCUUUUUUUACCUCACAGUUUGUGUGCUUGACCUUACCCAUAAUUUACAACCAAAACUGCAGAGCAGUUCUGGCUAUCUCUGUUCAAAUAAUCUUCCUUGUGUUCAGAAAAUUAUCCAAAGCACUGUGUCUUUUUAAUGCACAUUGAUGCUAGUCUUAAAAAUACUUAGCUGCUUGGUAGAAGAUAGGGGAAGAUUUAUUGUACGUGGUGAGAGUGCAUAAGCUUGGUCCUGAAUGACUGUACCUUUCUGUGGUGAAGUGAUGCUAAUUUAUUGCUGCAUUACAGUCAUUUAAUAAUAAUAAAUAAUCCUAAAAAGAAAACCCACAGAAUUGUUAGGUCAGAAAAAAUUGCUUUUUAGAGCUGCAGUCCUAACUGUGAGCCCAGUCUUACUGUUACUUCCAGAUAAAGGUAAUUAAGGUAUGUAUUUCUCUCCAUUCUUUUUGCUCUCUGGGACCACGCAGUAGUCUCGAUUAAGUUGAGGGCAUUAAGUGAAUGUCAUAGGCUAUACCCAAACCAAGCAACAGUGCAGUCGUUGCCAGAAGUGCACCAAUAUCUUUAAGAUAAUGCUUAGGAUAGGUAUUUCAAUUGAAUCUUUUCUCAUAUCUGCAUGUCACUGAAAGUAAAGGCUGUGAAGAAGCCCCUUCAGCCCUAAAUACUCACGUCAGCUGAAACUCCCAGCAGAGAGGGAUGGCAGAAUAUUGAAUUAGCAUCUAUUUUAAAAUCAGAGCUCCUGCUUGGAGUGGGGCCUGAUGGAGACACCUAAUGGAGUUGUCUGUACACACAAUCCUCUGCUUAUAUUGAGACUUCCUCGGUGAUUUGCUCCCCAACAACAACUGAAGACAUAAGGGUAGAGGUAGGAAAAGCACUCAUUAGAAUGACUGUGUCAGCUUUGUGGCCAAAGCACAGAGGUGCAAAGCUUUGUGCAGAUGCUCCUGGAUAUCAGUAGAUAUCUUGCUUAAUUAUCUGUAUGCUUUUUAUCUUGGUCUUCCUCCUUUCAUCCUUUUCCUGUUUUUCAGCCCUUUCUCUCAAAUAUAUCAUCUUCGAUGGUAGCUUGCUUCUACUCAUUACAGAGAAAAUAUAUUUUUAAUAGCGAAGUAGAAAAUGUGCACUCGUGGUUUUUUGUUUUUAAUUUUAUUUCUUGUUUGGGGGAAUUUUUGGUGGUAAAGGUUUUUCAAAAGUAAUCCUAUCAUGCAUGUGAAGUUUUGUAUUCAUGUUUGGGGAAGGGGAAAUUACCUGCCAGUUCCCCUCGUGUACUCACUGGGGAAAAUAAUGUAAUAGUUCUGCUAAGUCUUCAUCUCAUGGGGGGUGUGUAGUUUAAUUUUAGAGGGAUUUACUUCUAUAGCAGAAGGGGGGGGUGGGUUAAUUAAAAAAAAAAAAAUCCCACUCAUUCUUAAGCUAGAAAGCUAAAAACAGCCAGGCAAUUAGGCAACUGAAACAACAGUAUCUAGUUUAACACAGUUUACAUCCAGGCCAAAUUCUUAAUUUGUAUAAAUGAGAAAUGUACUUCCAAAGGUAUUAAAUGUUGCAGCUGUCGUUUUUAAAUUAUUAAAUUCUGAUAUCUUAAGGUAAAACUUUACAAGUAAGAGGCAGUAUUUGCUCUUAUGGGAGAAAUUUUCCUUGUCUUUUCCCAGAGAAGUUUAAGCAAAUCUUUUUCCUGCUUUCUGGCUAGCAUCUUCACAAACAUUUUUCUUACAUUCUCCCCCUUCUCUUUAUGCAUACAUAGAUGCACACGUAUGCAGUGGAUUAUGUUCAGCAUAGCUUCUUUGGAGGGAUGACCAGCUGUCCCAGCAUACUGUUGCAGUUAGGUUCCUUUUCCCUUUACAUUCAGAUUCUACAUCACCAAGGUGCUGGGUAAGUUGGGCCUCUGUAAUCUAGCUUGCAUAUUAACAAAAGCAAGACAAGAUAUUAAGAGGGGAAUAAAAUAAAUGUAAAUACAGUUGUGCACGUACAAAAUAUACUAGAAAUGGCUUUCUUAUACGGUCUCAAAAGUAGCAUUAGUACCUUGAUAGUCAUAUAAAGUCCUGUGUUGCUGCAGUUAACUAUAUACUGGCAAAUCUCGUUUUUAAAUGACACAUCUCUACCAACAGACCCUUUUAGCAGAGACUGUCCUGCUGUAUUACCAUAGGAGCAAACACUGGAAAGAAGUCCCAUCUCUGGCCUGCAAAACUACUUUGUGCUUACACAGAUAGCCCUGUUAAUUAAAGAGGGUGAUUUCAUCCUACGCUGGCUAGAAGACUCUUCACAGUGGAAAGAGGGGAAUCUUUCAUUGAGACAAUUGAAAUCGCUGCAGUGAGAAUGGAAAUUACUUGGGAUCCUUUCCUUUUAAAAGCUGUAUGCAAGAACUGUGUGAGAUAAGCCUGCAAGGAUGCACUGUCUCCAGUGGUGGAAUGGAACUCUCCUACAUUUGCAGCUCUGAGGUCCUAUGGAUUUUGCCUGAUUGAAGAAAGGAAGGUGUAUUAUUCAAUCCAAAUGCUUAUUUUUCUGUUAAUCUUAGGAACUGUGAGGGGAAGAAGAUGCUUAAUUUAUAAAUAAGCAAAAUAAAAGAGGGGCCUGCUUGCAAAUAUCUUGAGAUUGUUGCUCUUCGAGAGUGAAGAUAGUUGGUGAGAGGAGCAUGUCUGAAACGCCUGUGCUGAAAGAUUGGAGCUGCAAACUGGUAGGGGAAAGAGAUGUGAAACUGGAAAGUUCAAAGGACUGGUACAGGUUGGGCAAUGAUUUUAAGGAUUUGUUUGUUUCUUGAAGAUGGAAGAAGCAGCAGCUUAACAGGAGGAACCCUGCCUGAUUCUGCAAAGAGAAGGUCAGGCUUGGGGAAAGCAGAUCAACCUUAAGGUUUAUUAGAAUGCUUAGCACUGGAGUCAGGCUGUUACAUAGUAGUUUUUGAUAUGAAAUCGCUGUCACUUUCAUUUCUCAUCCAAUUCCACACAGAAAAGGGCAACUUUAUUACUGCAGUCUGCUACUUUGUGAAAUUUUGUCCUGAAAAGGCCUCCCAAAAAUUAGAUAGUAGUUGAUGGGCCUCUAGAGAUCAUCUAGCCUAAGCAGGAUCAGGCAGAACAGGCCUCUCAGGGCUGUAUCUGAUCUUAAUCUGCCCCCCUGUGUUAGUCUACUAUGAAGCAAUCCACGUGAUCAUAUGGAAUAUUCAAUGAUAGGACCAGCAUGGUGAGCUGCUGAGUCAGGAAAGAUGUUUGUAGGCUGUGCAAGGAGGAAGCCCAACGCUGUUACAGGUGCUGUAGAAAUAGGUUGAAAAUUCUGUAGGGAAUGGACCAAAGCCUACAAGCAGAGGAAGCUGUGUCUUCAUGGUGACAAGAAACAAGAAUUCCUAGGAAUUGGAUGUUAUAUUUAUUUUUCUGUCUUUAUUUUUGUAUGAUGCUGUACAAGUUACUAGGCCAUUGAUUUUUGUAGUGUUUAUGUUUCUCACUUCACAGAUGACUUUAAGCCAUUGUGUCCAGUGGAAACACUAGAUGUCCACAUUUGCAGCUGGUUUGCUUAAGAAUUGUAAACAUGAAUUCAAACUUGAUGGAAUGUGAUGUCCGUCUGGAGUUUCCUACAUAUUUCAAGUGGGAUACAUCUAACUGUUGGGUACUACUGUAGUUUCUAUAUCUUCGUGUCACAUUUAAAGUAGGGCUGAUAGUCACUUGAAGGGAUGUUUUUCUAUUUUUGCUUGCUUCAAGCUUUGUUUAGUAGAUGUGCUACAGGGAUGUGCUUCCUCGUGGGAUUUUCUAUGGCAUUUACGACUUCAGAUCACAGAGGAAGAGGUGAGUGUUGUGUGUUACCUUGUUAGCAGUUCAGGUAGAAUCACUUGGUUAGCACCCUAAACAGUUUAUUUCCAUUGGAAGUUAUUUAACAGCUCUCAGUUACAGCUCUGUUUUUCAGAAUCUGACUUGCUUAUAAUAGUCCUGUGUUAAUAAAUCAAAUGUAACUUAUACCUAACAUUGCUCUCUUUUCUUACUGUAAAAUUUGAUCCCUGUAUUCAACAUUUCUGAAAUAAACAUUAAUUAUAGUAACAUGUAUCUAUGUUAAGUAUGUAAAAGUUUGAGUCUUCAGUCUUAAGUAGAUAGUGCUGACUGACUUAGCUUCUGCUGAGAGAUAGGAAUCGUAUUGUAGCCAUUAUGUUGUUUUUUUCUGCUGCUUAUAACUGUAGGAGAUUGCCAUAAAUGAACCAUGGGCUCUGCGGGGUAAGCAUGUGGCUCUGCAUAAAGGAAUCUUUUAUUGGAAGCUUCAGUGCUUUGAAGUAGUUUAAAAAGCUAGUAUUUUAAAA
ensembl:lncRNA